GCUAGUAAUUUGAAAUUAAUUAUUUUAACUAAUCUUCUUACGUCAACUUAUGGACAAUGAGUGAGAUGUACACAAACACAAAGGCACUGAAAGAAAAACCAACCAACCGUUUGACUUGAGGCCCCAUUACCACCUUCCUUGAAUACAAUAAAAUUGAGAAUCUUUGGUAAGAAGAAUAAGUGAGAAUAGCUAAGUCCAAAGCAACUCGCCUACUCGAUGUCCAUUUCUUCCUAUAUUGCUCUUCCCUCUUCUUCACUAUGCCAUCGCAAAAAUUCAAUCAAUAUUAUAGUUGCAAGUCAGCUCUCUAUGAUAUGUACCCCACCAUUUCCAAAUGACAAUAUUGUCCUUGGAUGACCAUGCUCCACUAACAUAGUCUGCCCAAGCUUGAACCUCUUACUUCCAAUUGGAAACCACCUAACUUUGAUGAAAGUAAAACAAUAUGUAGCUGCUUCAUUAAGAUUCAUUCAUUGGAUAGUUGGGGUCCCCUUGGAAGUUGGAACCUUCAGUUAGUUUUCUUUAUUGAUCUCUUGUUAUGGAAGGGCAUUAGAGACAUUGCAUUAAGUUCGAAGGGUAAGUUCUGUAAAUGCAUAUUUUGUGUGCCCUUCUGCUUUCAGGCCCCAUGGAUGUUGCUUUCUUCUGCGUCGGAUGCUUUUGUUGUUUUGUGUUCCCUCAUUAGUUUAUUAGUGGAGCAAACUUGGGACACAAGUGAAAAUGAAAAAUAUAAAAGGGAGAGGAAAAGGAGAAGCUAUGUGAAGAUGGGGAGGUGGAGGGGGUACUGGAUGUGCUUCAAGAGCUCGUUUAUCAUCCCAACAAAGGGUGUACUUCUCAAGGCUAACUCUCGUCUCAGACACAAAGCCAAAGGGAAUGGAUAUGGUCUGGUUGGUCUUUACAAGGACAUAGAGUCCAAUGGAGGAUAUGCAGAUAUUCAAGUGAUGUGGGAGAUGAUUCAUUCUUCUCAUCCUCCUAAUGUUCACACCAUCAAAAGGAGCAAGAGGGCUUCUCGGAGAUUCUGUUUUAUGCCAAGUUGAAUUUUCACAUUUUCUCAAAGGAUUGGUCUUAGAUGCCUUUUAUACACUUCUUUCAGUGUCCCCUUUUGCAUUUAAAUAAAAGAGCUAGUUCUGUUUCUGCAGAUAGAAAAUGCCAGAGCAAGCACCACCUCCUUUGUCAUGCAUAUACCAGCAGCUGAGCAUAUAGAUUAUAGUUUGCUCUGAAAAGUCUCUACUUCGAAACACUUCUGUAUAUAGUUAAUGACUUCUCUGUUGAUUCGUAGGAUUUAGCAAGCCAUGGGUCUUGGGAGAUCUCCCAAAUAAAAAAUCAACUAUGUAAGAUAAUUCAGAACUAUUAUCUUCUAAUCAAAUUUGGCAUUUAUAAAAAUAGUUGAUACAAUUCAUGGGCAAAUAGGAGUAGGAGUAUGGAGCAUCAUUCUAAGAUGCUUAAACUCUUUUAUUGUUCCCAUAAACUAUCAGAAGCGAAAAGCCCGUCGAGCUUGCAACUGAAACUUUGAUUGAAUAUUUUCUCUACUAGGUGAAAGCAAUGCAACUAACAGCUUUAUUUUAUACUAAUAUUUUUCAUCUAUUAAUGACAACAAUCAUUCUAUUCUCUCUGAAUUCAAGAACAUUCUCUCCUUUGUCAAAAGAGCAAUGCAUAUUUCUGCAGAUGACAAUACUGUAAAUAACUCCAUAUGUGAAGUGCCACACUGCUGAAAGCCACUCCUGAAAUCUAAGACUGACCAAGAAAGAGAACUGACACUAUGAGGCUUCAUCAUGCUGCACCACCCUCUUCGAGGAGCAUUUGAUCGAAGUGCCACACUCC